rnacentral:rRNA from 1 species
UACGGAGGGUGCAAGCGUUAUCCGGAAUCAUUGGGUUUAAAGGGUCCGCAGGCGGAUGUAUAAGUCAGUGGUGAAAGCCUACAGCUUAACUGUAGAACUGCCAUUGAUACUGUACGUCUUGAAUUCGGUCGAAGUGGGCGGAAUGUGUCAUGUAGCGGUGAAAUGCAUAGAUAUGACACAGAACACCGAUAGCGAAGGCAGCUCACUAGGCCUGAAUUGACGCUCAGGGACGAAAGCGUGGGGAGCGAACAGG